CUCGUAGGCGGUUUGUCGCGUCGGGAGUGAAAACCUUGGGCUUAACCCAGGGCUUGCUUUCGAUACGGGCAGACUAGAGGUAUGCAGGGGAGAACGGAAUUCCUGGUGUAGCGGUGAAAUGCGCAGAUAUCAGGAGGAACACCGGUGGCGAAGGCGGUUCUCUGGGCAUGAUCUGACGCUGAGGAGCGAAAGUGUGGGGAGCGAACA
rnacentral:rRNA from 1 species